AUGGCAAGCUCUCGCAUAGCAAAGUUUUUCAUGGAGGUGGCACCGCCACAAUAUGUUAGUGUGAUGAGGCAUAGAACAUCAAAGAUGAUGGAAACAAUUACUGAAGAGGAUAGAGAAAUUAGCUCAAACGAUACUGUAAUUUCACCACUGAAAAGUUCAUCAGCUGUUUCAGCUUCAUCACUUGCUGCUUCUGCUUGUGGCUCUUCUUCCACCAAUACAACUGUUAAUACUAGGUACUUUCUAAAGGAAGUUCAUAGAACACUCUCAAGUUUGAAUCACUGA